rnacentral:rRNA from 1 species
AACGAACGCUGGCGGCAGGCUUAACACAUGCAAGUCGAACGCAUCGCAAGAUGAGUGGCAGACGGGUGAGUAACGCGUGGGAACAUACCCUUUUCUACGGAAUAGCUCUGGGAAACUGGAAUUAAUACCGUAUACGCCCUACGGGGAAAGAUUUAUCGGGGAAGGAUUGGCCCGCGUUGGAUUAGCUAGUUGGUGGGGUAAAGGCCUACCAAGGCGACGAUCCAUAGCUGGUCUGAGAGGAUGAUCAGCCACGUUGGGACUGAGACACGGCCCAAACUCCUACGGGAGGCAGCAGUGGGGAAUAUUGGACAAUGGGCGCAAGCCUGAUCCAGCCAUGCCGCGUGAGUGAUGAAGGCCUUAGGGUUGUAAAGCUCUUUCACCGAUGAAGAUAAUGACGGUAGUCGGAGAAGAAGCCCCGGCUAACUUCGUGCCAGCCGCCGCGGUAACAC